AUGCGGCGGCUCAGCGACGCAGGGGAGGCCACGCCGCUGGUCACCCCCGCGGCGGCCGCGGCGGCGGGCGGCACCUUGGCAUCGCCGGCCGCUGCGGGGAGCAACGCCAACUUCGACGCCAACAUGGUGAUCAUCCUGGCCGCGCUGCUCUGCGUUCUCAUUUUCGCGCUUGGGCUCAACUCCGUCAUCCGCUGCGUGCUCCACUGCGGCCGCCGGCUCGCGCCGUCGUCGAGCCUCGCGGCCAGCGCCACCACGGCGAGGACGACGACAUCCGCGGGGCUCAAGAGGAAGGCGCUGAGGAAGAUACCCGUGGAGGUGUACGGCGGAGCCAAGUCGUCCGGCGGCGCCCUCCCAGCCACGGCCACGGAGUGCGCCAUCUGCCUCGGCGAGUUCGCCGACGGCGAGAAGGUACGCGUGCUCCCGCGGUGCCACCACGGAUUCCACGUCCGCUGCAUCGACAUGUGGCUCGCCACGCACACCUCCUGCCCCAACUGCCGGGCCUCGCUCGCUGAGGACGGCGCCGCCGCUGCCAACGGCGGAGGGAGAUAG
rnacentral:rRNA from 1 species